rnacentral:rRNA from 1 species
CCCUUAGAUGUUCUGGGCUGCACGCGCGCUACACUGAUGCGUUCAACGAGUUUAUGACCUUGCCCGAUAGGGUUGGGUAAUCUUUUUAAAUCGCAUCGUGAUGGGGAUAGAUUAUUGCAAUUAUUAAUCUUCAACGAGGAAUUCCUAGUAAGCGCGAGUCAUAAGCUCGCGUUGAUUACGUCCCUGCCCUUUGUACACACCGCCCGUCGCUACUACCGAUUGAACGGUUUAGUGAGGGCAUCGGACUGGUCUCGGCCCGCCCUUCACCGGUGCGGCGCCGCCGGCCGGGAAGACGCUCGAACUUGAUCGUUUAGAGGAAGUAAAAGUCGUAACA